CAUAUAUGUAUGUGUCAAUAGGACGUGUAUACAACUGUCAAAUAUCGGGGGAAAAAACAAAUCAGUACUUAAACUUAACGAUUAUUCAUUGGUAAUAAUUUAGUGGAGUUUUAGUAGAAUUAUUACAAAAGGAAUUAACUGAUUACAUUAGUAACGUUAUAAACAAGAUUGAGAAGUCUGCAUUCUUCGGUUGGAAAACAGAGGAAAGAGUUCUUUGUAUAAUAGAGAUUUGUUAGUUUAAGAUUGUCUGACCAAAUCAACCAGGUGUGUAAUCGAUCACGAAGAGACAAGUCCUAAGACAUCUUUCAAUUGACUGGUAUUGUUAUCAUUGUAAUAAUUUUAAACAUCAGCGGGCAUAGAUUUAUUGUGAAACAGCUGUACUGGACAUCAUAAUAUUUGCCAAUGAUGGCAAAGUAUUCUAGAAAACGACUGAUUCAAAAGCUUUAAUUGUUUGUCCACAUUGUUCUUUGUAUACUGAAACUGACACGUUUGAACAUAGGGCAUCACUAAGGAAUAAGUCCCGAAAUGAAAAUAAUAAGGGAGUGUCUCGUCGACAAAAAGAGUUACACAGAUGUAUCUCUAGGAAAAUAGAACUCCCUCGAAAGAAAAAAUAACUCUAUAGAAGAUUUGUAAUACAGCACUGAAUAUACAAAUUACAGUGAGAACAUUUCUUGCUAUUAAGACAAUUUGUACACUGUUAUUGUUGUAACUAUCAAUGAAAAACAGUCAGCAGUAUCAUGAAAAGAAAAUAUUUUGUUUUAAAACUUUUAUUAAAGGCAUUUUGCUAGAGUGAAAUAUCACCAACCGAGAAUUACCGAGUAUUAAAAAAUAUGACGACAAUGAUGUUGAAACAAGCUGAAAUCUUUCUAUGCUGAAGAAAAUUUCAAAAAUGGAUAAUACUUUUACGAAUUCGAUACAUAUUUUGAAAAUGAAAGAACAAUUACAAUGACGGAUCCGGUUCUGAAGUUUAUGAAAAAGAAUGGUAUCAUUUUCCAUACAAAAAAGUAUGACAGUAAAGUUAAUGUAAAACGUUAAAAUAAAAAUUCAAAAUUAAAAUGUACAAAAACAUUCAGAGAUAAACAUAAAAGUUCAAGCAACCAGUAUACGCGAUCGCCUAAAACUAACAGCGUGUAUUUAAAGGCAUAUAAAGUAAUGACUGUGUACUUCACUGAACAAGACUUAAAACAUGCUUUGGAAGUUGUUACGGAGAACUUGCAAAGACUCUCGGAAGAGGCUUCUGGUCAAUUACAUAAUGAUGACGAUCGAACAGACUUGAAGAUCAAAUUGCUUUAUGAAAAUCCGCUGUACCCGAAAUAGAUUAGGUUAGUGAUAUUCAGAGUGUAUAACUUCAACAAAGUUUCUUACGCAACACGUUAUAUAGUUUCCAGUGUCUUUGCAAUUGAUAUAAGUACACAUGUCAAAUUGUUUCACCCUCUUAAAACGAUAUAUCGACAAUACAAUAAUACAACUUCAACAUAAUCAAAUGUUUUAGUGAUAAGAAAUAAUCAUUUUGUAACAGUUUUGUCUUCACAGUUUAUUGUUACGUUUUUAUCAUUUAUAUUCUAAUGUAAGCAAGAUUCAUUUACUUGUGGAUAAAAAACCCAUAGAGCUGAAGUGAAAAC